rnacentral:rRNA from 1 species
UACGUAGGGGGCAAGCGUUGUCCGGAUUUACUGGGCGUAAAGAGCGCGCAGGCGGUCGGCCAAGUCGAGUGUGAAAGCCCCCGGCUCAACUGGGGAGGGUCAUUCGAUACUGGUCGACUCGAAGGCAGGAGAGGGAAGCGGAAUUCCCGGUGUAGUGGUGAAAUGCGUAGAUAUCGGGAGGAACACCAGUGGCGAAGGCGGCUUCCUGGCCUGUUCUUGACGCUGAGGCGCGAAAGCUAGGGGAGCAAACGGG